CCAAAAACGUUGGUUUAAAUCCCUCCUUUGCUA
rnacentral:tRNA from 1 species